rnacentral:rRNA from 1 species
AGUGAACGCUGGCGGUAGGCCUAACACAUGCAAGUCGAACGGCAGCACAGUAAGAGCUUGCUCUUACGGGUGGCGAGUGGCGGACGGGUGAGGAAUACAUCGGAAUCUACUUUUUCGUGGGGGAUAACGUAGGGAAACUUACGCUAAUACCGCAUACGACCUACGGGUGAAAGCAGGGGAUCUUCGGACCUUGCGCGAUUGAAUUAGCCGAUGUCGGAUUAGCUAGUUGGCGGGGUAAAGGCCCACCAAGGCGACGAUCCGUAGCUGGUCUGAGAGGAUGAUCAGCCACACUGGAACUGAGACACGGUCCAGACUCCUACGGGAGGCAGCAGUGGGGAAUCUUGGACAAUGGGCGCAAGCCUGAUCCAGCCAUACCGCGUGGGUGAAGAAGGCCUUCGGGUUGUAAAGCCCUUUUGUUGGGAAAGAAAAGCAGCAGGUUAAUACCCCGCUGUUCUGACGGUACCCAAAGAAUAAGCACCGGCUAACUUCGUG